GGACUACCGGGGUAUCUAAUCCUGUUCGCUCCCCACGCUUUCGUACCUCAGUGUCAGGAGUGGCCCAGCAAGCUGCCUUCGCCAUUGGUGUUCCUUGUAAUAUCUACGCAUUUCACUGCUACACUACAAAUUCCACUUGCCUCUGCCGUCCUCUAGCCUGCCAGUAUGAAAUGCAUCGAUAUGGUUGAGCCACACGAUUUAACACCUCACUUAACAAGCCACCUACGCACGCUUUACGCCCAGUGAUUCCGGAUAACGCUUGGACCCUACGUAUUACCGCGGCUGCUGGCAC
rnacentral:rRNA from 1 species